rnacentral:rRNA from 1 species
GUCUACGGCCCUGCCACCCUGAACAUGCCGGACCCCGUCUGAUCUCGAAAGCUAAGCAGGGUCGGGCCUGGUUAGUACUUAGAUGGGAGACCACCUAGGAAGACCAGGUACUAUAGGCU